CACCGCGGUUAUACGAAAGGCCCAAGCUGAUAGCCAUCGGCGUAAAGGGUGGUUAGGAAAUAAUUGAAACUAAAGCCGAAUAUAUUUAAGGCUGUUGCACGCAUUCAAAUACAAGAAGCCCAAUCACGAAAGUAGCUUUAUUAAAUCUGAACCCACGAAAGCCAGGGAA
rnacentral:rRNA from 1 species